rnacentral:misc_RNA from 1 species
AUUAUGAUCGAUCUAAUCAAUUGUUAGGUAGGAGAUUUCAAGACAAAAUUAUUGGAAGCAGCAGAUGUUAGAAGAGGAUAUGGAGGAGUGCAUCUUUUGGAGAAGAUUUAGAAAGUCAAGAACUCUGAAUGUCUUGUGUAUGCCAAAUUGCCAAUUGAUGUUUUCAUGCAGGUUUUAACUUGAACAGAAUCCCCUUUUACACUUAAAAAAGUCGCGUUUCUUUUCCUUGCAACCCACCCCAUUACACCCAUAUCAAAAGCCAGGUGAAGAGGACAAUAUAUUAUCAUUUUCCUUCUACCAGUAAUUGCCUCUCGGCGGGUCCGUUUCAUUCAGCUCUUGGCCAUUUUAUACAGUCAACUUGGCCUGCUUUUGAUUAAAAGAAAGUCACUUUGAUCUCAUGCAAGCUUCGCUUCAUUAUCUUUGCGAUUUGUGAAUUUUACGUACUCCCCUAGGCAAUCAUUUGUGACUGUUGAAUUCAGGAGCCAGAGCCACCUCUAAGUAUCUUGUUAGUAUUG